rnacentral:rRNA from 1 species
AUGCUCAGGGGGUGCAUGCAACCAUCAUCACACCAGCAAGAUGAUAUUUUUUGUUGGUCACUUUCAGUCAGAGGAAAUGCAGAACUUGAUCCUGAGAUUGUUUUGUGGAUCCAAUGCAUCAAGGCCGAGAAACAAACCCACCCCAAGAUGUCAAAUGCUCACCACACAUCACUGCCCCAUUUUCACACAGCAGAAAGAGAAACCCCCAAACCAGCCAGCUGCCAGAAGAUACAAACAGCAGAGACAACACAUCAGAUUUGUCCCAAGGUACAUAAAAUGGCCCAUGGAUGCAUGCAUGCAUGCAUGCAUGAAUGUAUCCUAGCCAAGGCAAUUAAUUAUUAUUACUAUUAUUAUUAUUAA